rnacentral:rRNA from 1 species
CCCUUAGAUGUUCUGGGCUGCACGCGCGCUACACUGAAGCUAUCAACACGUUUUCCCUCCCUGAGAAGGGCGGGUAACCUUCUGAAUCAGCUUCGUGGUAGGGAUCGGGGCUUGCAAUUGUUCCCCGGGAACCAGGAAUUCCUAGUAGACGCGAGUCAUAAGCUCGCAUCGAUUAAGUCCCUGCCCUUUGUACACACCGCCCGUCGCUACUACCGAUUGAACGUUUUAGUGAGGCAUUUGGACCGACGCAUCUCAGUUUAACCGCUGGUUUGUGUUGGAAAGACUUCCAAACUUGAGCGUUUAGAGGAAGUAAAAGUCGUAACA